UAGGGAAUAUUAGUAAUGGGCGAAAGCCUGAACUAGCAACGCCGCGCGUGCGAAGAAGGCCUUCGGGUUGUAAAGCACUUUUUGAGAGGAUGAGGAAGGACGGUACUCUCAGAAUAAGUCUCGGCUAACUACGUGCCAGCAGCCGCGGUAACACGUAGGAGGCAAACGUUAUCCGGAUUUACUGGGCGUAAAGCGCGUGUAGGUGGUUUGGUAAGUAGGGCGUGAAAGCUCCUGGCUCAACUGGGAGGGGCCGUUCUAAACUGCCGAACUAGAGGAUGGUAGAGGGAGGUGGAAUUCCGGGUGUAGCGGUGGAAUGCGCAGAUAUCCGGAGGAACACCAGUGGCGAAAGCGGCCUCCUGGACCAUUCCUGACACUCAGACGCGAAAGCUAGGGUAGCAAACGG
rnacentral:rRNA from 1 species